rnacentral:rRNA from 1 species
GACGAACGCUGGCGGCGUGCUUAACACAUGCAAGUCGAGCGGUAAGGCCCUUUCGGGGGUACACGAGCGGCGAACGGGUGAGUAACACGUGGGUGACCUGCCCUCAGCUCUGGGAUAAGCCUGGGAAACCGGGUCUAAUACCGGAUAUGACUCCAUGACGCAUGUUGUGGGGUGGAAAGCCUUGUGCGGCUGAGGAUGGGCCCGCGGCCUAUCAGCUUGUUGGUGGGGGAUGGCCUACCAAGGCGACGACGGGUAGCCGGCCUGAGAGGGCGACCGGGCCACACUGGGACUGAGACACGGCCCAGACUCCUACGGGAGGCAGCAGUGGGGAAUCUUGCGCAAUGGGCGAAAGCCUGACGCAGCGACGCCGCGUGAGGGAUGACGGCC